rnacentral:sRNA from 1 species
UCACAAUGACAGGGUAAACCGACAGU